UACGUAGGGUGCGAGCGUUAAUCGGAAUUACUGGGCGUAAAGGGCUCGUAGGCGGCCAACUAAGUCCGACGUGAAAUCCCCAAGCUUAACUUGGGAACUGCGUCGGAUACUGGAUGGCUUGAAUUCGGGAGAGGGAUGCAGAAUUCCAGGUGUAGCGGUGAAAUGCGUAGAUAUCUGGAGGAAUACCGGUGGCGAAGACGGCAUCCUGGACCGACAUUGACGCUGAGGAGCGAAAGCGAGGGUAGCAAACGGG
rnacentral:rRNA from 1 species